GUCUGAGGCUUGCCACCCUGAACGUGCCCAAUCUCAUCAGAUCUCGAAAGCUAAGCACGGUUGGGCCUGGUUAGUACUUGGAUGGGAGACCACCUGGGAACACCAGGUGCUGUAGGCG
rnacentral:rRNA from 1 species